UACGUAGGUGACAAGCGUUGUCCGGAUUUACUGGGCGUAAAGAGCGCGCAGGCGGUCGAUCAAGUCGAGUGUGAAAGCCCCCGGCUCAACUGGGGAGGGUCAUUCGAUACUGAUCGACUCGAAGGCAGGAGAGGGUAGUGGAAUUCCCGGUGUAGUGGUGAAAUGCGUAGAUAUCGGGAGGAACACCAGUGGCGAAGGCGAGUCCCUGGACAGGUCCUGACGCUGAGGCACGAAAGCUAGGGGAGCAAACAGGAUUAGAUA
rnacentral:rRNA from 1 species